AAACCCAGCUUGUCGGGUCACUCCUGCCCAGCCCUGACCUGCUGGGGGACGGGCACGGAGGGGCUGGAAGGGCUGGAUGAGGUUACAGGUGGUGGGACUGGAUGAGGUCCCAGGUGGAAGGGCUGGAUGAGGUCCCAGGUGGUUUCACAGUGUCUCCUGCUCUCUCCUCCCGUUCCAGCACCGCGGUGCCCACACCCUGAGCUGCAGCACCUUCUCCUCGGUCCCCAGACGCCUGGGCCGGCUCCUCCUGCUGCUGCAGCACCAGGCUCAGGCGGGGCGCAUCAAGGUGCUGCUGCGCAAGGCAGAGGCGCUGGGCCGGCUCUCCCGCCUGCCGGGAGCCCCAGGCCACUACGUCAUCGUCCAUCUCCACCACGACGGCCACAUCAUCGACACCAAGGAGACCAAGCCCGCCAGUGGCUACAACCCCGUGUGGAACGCGCCCUUCCUCUUCAGCAUCCCCGCCGGGGACAUCCAGCAGCAGGAGCUGGCCUUGGAGUUCAUUGUCAUGCAGGCUCGGCUCCACACCCGCGGCUCCAUGCUGGGCCGUGUCCAGGUGGGGCCAGGUGCCCUUGGGACCGGGAUGCCGCACUGGAGGGACAUGUGCAGCCAGGCACCGCUGGAGUCGGAGCGUUGGCAUUGCAUCCAGCCCCCUGCACCCGGCCCUUGAUCCUGCGGGAAGGACUCGGGACUGAGCCAGGGGGGCUCCGAGCUGUGGAGAGGGGAUGUGGCACCCACACACCAGCGGGGGAGAAGCCCUGGCUCCAUCUCUGGGGCUGGAGAUCACUGGUGGUCGGCCCAUCCUGA
rnacentral:lncRNA from 1 species